CACGUAGGGUCCGAGCGUUGUCCGGAAUUACUGGGCGUAAAGCGUGCGCAGGCGGUUGGGUCAGUCGCUGGUGAAAGCCCCACGCUCAACGUGGGAAUGGCCAACGAGACGGCCCGACUGGAGGCAGGGAGAGGCCGGUGGAAUUCCGGGUGUAGUGGUGAAAUGCGUAGAGAUCCGGAGGAACACCAGAGGCGAAGGCG
rnacentral:rRNA from 1 species